AUGCAGGAAGAGUCGCUCCAUUAUACGGAGUUGGAGACGAGAAGAUGGGGAUGUAAUCACCUUCAAGGCAGGAAGGGACGUCUGCGUCAACUGAAAGUGAAAUCAACUCUUUGAGAAGAGUUCAAGGACAUAUUGAAGCCUCAAAAGCAAACGGUUGACUGACAGAAGAGCCCGGCUCACCUCAAUCUGGGUGCCACACUCGUUGAGGGGGAUGACAGCGAUGACGUGAGUGCGGUUGGAGUAUUUCUGGAGGCUGCAGGCUAUGCUUGUGGGGUUGCUGAGCUGGAGGUGAUCCUCUUUGACUUUAGAGAAGGAAGACUUGUCCACCAUCACGGUCAUUGUGGACCCAGUGCAUAUCACGCUGGUUUUGACUGAAUGAUUGUGCAAUAAAAACCUUUUAAAACA